rnacentral:lncRNA from 1 species
GGAAGAACAAAAACACAGCUGCAGAGGAGGCUAACAUCUUAGCAACAGAGUUCUUCAUGAAGUCAGAUUCGUGGUCCUGGAGCAGAAGAUGAUCCAGCUGAAUGAAGUGUAGAGUGAAUCAGCAGUGAUGCAGGCCCUGUGUGUGAUGGUAACAGAAGCUCGACAGCCAGUGUCAGGACACACAGCAGCUGACCCUCAGGCGUUUGCAGUGUCGGUCCUCUGAAGGUCAGACGGAGGGACCUGAACGGACC